AGGAUUAACGCUGGCGGCGUGCCUAACACAUGCAAGUCGAACGAGGUAGCAAUACCUAGUGGCAGACGGGUGAGUAACGCGUGGUCAACCUACCGUUGAGUGGGGGAUAACUAGCCGAAAGGUUAGCUAAUACCGCAUACGUCUCCGAGGGGCAUCCCUUGGCGAUAAAAGGAGCAAUCCGCUCGAUGACGGGACCGCGUCCCAUUAGCUAGAUGGUGGGGUAACGGCCUACCAUGGCACCGAUGGGUAGCUGGUUUGAGAGAGCGACCAGCCACACUGGGACUGAGAAACGGCCCAGACUCCUACGGGAGGCAGCAGUGAGGAAUUUUCCGCAAUGGGCGCAAGCCUGACGGAGCGACGCCGCGUGUGGGAAGAAGGCCUUCGGGUCGUAACCGACUGUCGAAGGGGACGAUAAUGACGGUACCCUUGGAGGAAGCCCCGGCUAACGUACGCGUCAGCAGCCGC
rnacentral:rRNA from 1 species